rnacentral:lncRNA from 1 species
GCACACAACCAAUUGUUUUUUCAUUGAAGCUCCCAAAGUUCUUACAAAAGGAAGAAUGUGCCAUGAACUUGGCAAUAUUUGAACUUCCGGCAACUGUUAGCAUGAUAACUACAACACUUACCAUACAUGCACACAAAUAUCAAGAAAAACCUAGAUAGUUUGGACAGCAAGACAAUGCCUUCAAAAACGAUGCAACACUGAUUCGACAUUGUAGUCGGAACUCGCCAGUGGAAGCCGGAACACAAGUUACCUAGAUAGUGCCCACCUAUAUAUGGAACUCCACGACACCCCUCAUAAAUAUGAAAUGAUGCGCAAGUACUGUCAUUACAGAUGAACUGUUGGCCGAUGGGCCCUAGCUAACUCUGGCCACCAACACCAUGCUCAUCUGCCACUGCUUCUGCCUGAGGAGUAGGAAGAAGCGGCCGCGAAGACGGUGGGUUGUUCUUGCAGUUAGGGCACCCAUCGUGGGGACGAUGGUUCUCUGUGGUGGGAGCCGGAGGUGGCCGCGGUUGCCUUCCACCUGCACACAACGUAUGAUAUAGACCCCUGAUGUCCAUUGAUCACAGCAGAGCUUAGUGAGGGUAUGGACAAGCUGAUGCUUAAUUACCUCCCUGGACAAGCUCAACGUUGGCUGCACACAGGAUCAGCACUGCUACGACCAUCGCCCAGCACCGGGCGGACGAUGAGGAAGAUGACGCCGCUGGCUUCAACAUCUUUGAUAGUUGAUACUACAGUACCUUGUAGAUCUGUCUGU